rnacentral:rRNA from 1 species
GAUGAACGCUGGCGGCGUGCCUAAUACAUGCAAGUCGAGCGAACAGACGAGGAGCUUGCUCCUCUGACGUUAGCGGCGGACGGGUGAGUAACACGUGGAUAACCUACCUAUAAGACUGGGAUAACUUCGGGAAACCGGAGCUAAUACCGGAUAAUAUAUUGAACCGCAUGGUUCAAUAGUGAAAGACGGUUUUGCUGUCACUUAUAGAUGGAUCCGCGCCGCAUUAGCUAGUUGGUAAGGUAACGGCUUACCAAGGCAACGAUGCGUAGCCGACCUGAGAGGGUGAUCGGCCACACUGGAAGUGAGACACGGUCCAGACUCCUACGGGAGGCAGCAGUAGGGAAUCUUCCGCAAUGGGCGAGAGCCUGACAGAGCAACGCCGCGUGAGUGAUGAAGGUCUUCGGAUCGUAAAACUCUGUUAUUAGGGAAGAACAAAUGUGUAAGUAACUAUGCACGUCUUGACGGUACCUAAUCAGAAAGCCACGGCUAACUACGUG